rnacentral:rRNA from 1 species
GGAGGCAGCAGUAGGGAAUAUUGGUCAAUGGACGCAAGUCUGAACCAGCCAUGCCGCGUGAAGGAUGAAGGCCCUAUGGGUCGUAAACUUCUUUUAUUAGGGAAGAAAAAAUGGGAUGCGUCCUAUACUGACGGUACUUAAUGAAUAAGGAUCGGCUAACCUCGUGCCAGCAGCCGCGGUAAGACGAGGGAUCCUAGC